UACGGGGGGGGCAAGCGUUGUUCGGAAUUAUUGGGCGUAAAGGGCGCGUAGGCGGCUUUGCAAGUGGCGGGUGAAAUCCCUCGGCUUAACCGAGGAACUGCCUGCCAGACUGUGAGGCUUGAGACCGGGAGAGGUAAGUGGAAUUCCCAGUGUAGCGGUGAAAUGCGUAGAUAUUGGGAGGAACACCAGUGGCGAAGGCGGCUCACUGGACCGGAACUGACGCUGAGGCGCGAAAGCGUGGGGAGCAAACAGG
rnacentral:rRNA from 1 species